UUUGAUCCUGGCUCAGAGCGAACGUUAGCGGCGGGGCUUAACACAUGCAAGUCGAGCGAGAAAGGGGCUUCGGCCCUGAGUACAGCGGCGGACGGGUGAAUAACACGUAGGUAACCUUCCUUUCAGCGGGGGACAACGGUCCGAAAGGACCGCUAAUACCGCAUACGUUCCCUAGGACCUCGGUCCUGGGGAGGAAAGGCCCGCAAGGGCCACUGGAUGAGGGGCCUGCGUAGCAUCAGCUAGUUGGUGGGGUAAUGGCCUACCAAGGCGAAGACGCUUAGCUGGUCUGAGAGGAUGAUCAGCCACACUGGGACUGAGACACGGCCCAGACUCCUACGGGAGGCAGCAGUGGGGAAUAUUGGACAAUGGGCGCAAGCCUGAUCCAGCCACGCCGCGUGAGUGAUGAAGGCCUCGGUCGUAAGAC
rnacentral:rRNA from 1 species